UUAGAAGAGUUGGAUUUUACAGGAUGCAAAUCAAUGGAGACUUUGCCAAAUUUGACAGGAUUUGAGAAGCUACGAUCUCUAAUAGUUCGAGACUGCAAGAAACUUGCUCAGCUUCGGGACUUGAAAUGUUGAAUUUAACUUAUUUGGAUAUUUCUGGUUGUGACUCAUUGGAAGCAAUACCUAACUUAUCUAGAACGCACGUCAAUAGAAAUUAUGAACUACGUCCCUAGUUUAAGUUUUAGUUCUCUUUGGAAACAUUAUCUUGCGGUGAUAAUGAUGUAAUAAAUCUUACACCCAUAUUACAACAGUGAGAGGAGUAAUGUUUCUUCAACAAAGGGUCUAAAUUGCUAGUCUUACAUUAUUGAAGGAGUGGGGGAGUUGGCCAGAAGCUGACGUGAUGUUUCAGCCAAGAUCAAAAUGUAGACCCAAUAGAAGGCAUAGUUUGGUUGGUCUAUGCAAUGAUCAAGACUUACUUUGGGACUUCAAUUCAGUCAACCAUGUCGAUGACCUUUUGCAUAAUUAGACAAUUUUUGCCCGGUCUGUGAAACAAGCUGGGAUGAGGGGCUCAAGAAUUUGCUAAUUGGUUUGCAUCGCAUUUGAUCCUAUUGCUGCCGUGGAAUUGUUUUAUCAUCUGAUUUGGGUGUGGCUAGCUUGGCUGAGGAACUUCAAAUUCCAUACUUGAGACCAAUCAAAAUGAAGAAAAGGGAUUUUGCGGAGGAAGCAUCAGCAACAGCUGAGGACCAUCUUGUGUGCCAACCUUGAAGAUGUUCUAGGGGCAACUGGAGUGUCCAAAGGAAGGUUUGAUUUGUGUGAAUGUUCAAACAUUUGAUCUUGUCUCAACAACACAUACCUGAACGAUUGUAAAUAGUUGCUUGAUACAGUUGCAUUCUAAUGAUAUCACUCCUGAACUUGAUGAGGCUCUGAAGGGGGAGGUAUGCACUGCUAGUUGUACCAUGAAAGACUAACUUGUGUGCUGAUACUCUAUGAGCUGUGGAAUUUCACUUGAAAUUAGGACACAAAUUGAAGCUGCAUUCCAUGAAACCCGGAGAAAGUCCCAAAACACUGCAGGAAUGAGCUAUGUCAUUAUGGAAAUGCAUCCUGAAAUUCCUUGCUAAUGGCGUUUAUCAUGUGCUCUGUGUUGUUAAUACUCUUCAAAGGAUUCUUGAUAUAAAGCAACCUCUUCUCAUGUGGUGUUUUAGUCCUGUGCAACCUUUGGCAUUGUCCUCUCCUUUGGCAAAGGCUGAAUGACAAAUCACUUUCAGGAAGACUGCAUGUGCAGCUGAGGACCAUUUUCUGUGCCAACCUUGAAGACGCUCUGGGGCCAACUGGAGUGUCCUGAGGAAGUUUUGAUGCUUGUGAAUAUUCGAACACUUGAUCAUGUCUCAACAAGUUGUUUGAUAAAGUUGCAUUCUAAAUAUAUCACUCCUCAACUCGCUGAGGCUCUGAAGGGAGAGAUUCAAGCUGCAAUUUAUUUAACUCAGAGAAAGUCCCCAAACACCAUGGGAUGGAGAUGCGAGCAGGAAUGAGCUUUGUCAUUAUGGAAAGUCAUCCUGAAGUUCUAUCCUGUUGGCGUUUGUGUUGUUAGUACUCUUCAAAGGAUUCUGGAUGUGAGGUGACCUCUUCUCAUAUGGUGCAUUAGGCCUUGGCGAGCUUUCACAUCGUGCUAUUCUUUAGCAAAGGCCGAAUCACAAAUUGCUUGCUGGAAGAAUGCAUUUGCAGGUUAAGCAUAAAAUGAGAUUUGCUAACAAGAUUACCAGUUAGAUGUCCACUUCAAGCUAUAAUUUUGUGGCGGAGAGAUUCUUUUCGUGGAAAAAGCGAAUGCCAUGGAAUUAGCAAAUAAUUUGUCAAUUGCAGGCAAGAGUUUCAAUGAUAAUGUUUCCAAGAAGACAGUAGUUUUCUCAUUUGAAAGAAUUUUGAACACGAAAUAAAGCGCUCGUCAAUGUAAAAUCAUCUUCCUAGUCUGGUUACAUUGAAAAAUCAUAUGUAGGCAUUUUGCAAUCGUUUUGAUCGUAUAAUCUCAAACUUGAUUUAUUUAAGCAUGAAUCUAAAAGUAGAAGAGCCACAUCCAUGUA